AUAGAAAUACUAGAAAAUACUAGAGGGGCGGAUGGAGCCAAGUGGAUCAAGGCAGAGGAUUU
rnacentral:tRNA from 1 species